UACGAAGGGUGCAAACGUUGCUCGGAAUUAUUGGGCGUAAAGCGCACGUAGGCGGCUUGGCAAGUCGGAUGUGAAAUCCCUCGGCUCAACCAAGGAAGUGCAUCCGAAACUGCUAAGCUUGAGUACUUAAGAGGAUCGCGGAAUUCCCGGUGUAGAGGUGAAAUUCGUAGAUAUCGGGAGGAACACCAGUGGCGAAGGCGGCGAUCUGGGAAGAUACUGACGCUGAGGUGCGAAAGCGUGGGGAGCGAACAGG
rnacentral:rRNA from 1 species